GACGAACGCUGGCGGCGUGCUUAACACAUGCAAGUCGAACGGUAAGGCCCUUUCGGGGGUACCCGAGUGGCGAACGGGGGAGUAACACGUGGGUGAUCUGCCCUGCACUUUGGGAUAAGCCUGGGGAACUGGGUCUAAUACCGGAUAGGACUACGCGAUGCAUGGCGUGUGGUGGAAAGCUUUUGCGGUGUGGGAUGGGCCCGCGGCCUAUCAGCUUGUUGGUGGGGUGAUGGCCUACCAAGGCGACGACCGGUAGCCGGCCUGAGAGGGUGUCCGGCCACACUGCGACUGAGAGACGGCGCAGACUCCUACGUGAGGCAGUAGUGGGGAAUAUUGCACAAUGGGCGCAAGCCUGAUGCAGCGACGCCGCGUGGGUGAUGACGGCCUGCGGGUUGUAAACCCCUUUCAGCUCAGACGAAGCGUAAGUGACGGUACGGGAAGAAGAAGCACCGGCCAACUACGUG
rnacentral:rRNA from 1 species